rnacentral:tRNA from 1 species
GGGGUCGUAGGAUAACCUGGUAGACUACCAGAUUCGGGAUCUGGCGAUCCGAGUUCAAAUCUCGGCGACCCCA